UUGCCGGAGUCAUAAUGAGUGUCAGAAGUUCACAACAGGAAGAGGCAUGAGAGCUUGGAAACGCCGUCCACACGCGAACGAAACAAAUACAGAGAAGCCGUAGGUGAUUCCUCGCAGUGCGUCUGAUCGAGAGACGCAUCUGAAGACCACAGUCGGCGUCUGUGAUAAAACUACAAAAGGAGAAGUUGCCACCUAACGAGAGACGGCGCUAAUUUAAUUUCAUGCAAGAGUCUCACCGGUGAUAUUAAAAAGUGUGGCCUCGGGCGCGUCGAUGGAUUUAUGUCGAUUUCGUGCAUGAAAAGCAAAACGUCACAUGUGCAAUCGUUUCGGGAUAAAACAGAACGGGGGACUCCUGAGGACGUUUGGUGAUUUGGAGAAGUGUGAAUGAUUCAAAGAAUAGUUCGAGUGACUAAUCAAGGCAUCGUUUUCUCAUUUCUGCGAAUGUUUCUGAUUGUUUAUGUUUCCUUAUAUUUGGUGCAUGACUGUGCUCUAUUCUGUUUUUCGUGUCACGGACGUCAAA